UUUCUUUUAAGGGUUUUAGGAGGGAGAGCAGAGCCAACUCUUGGAGGCACUGGACUGGCUGUGACACAGAAAAACAAGAUAUGUGAGGUUGAUACCUCCAGCUUCAUCUUCUCACUCAGGAUUGUUUUCACUUUUUGGGCUUCUUUGCGAUUCUAUAAACAUUUUAAGAUUAUUUUCCUGUUUCUAUAAAAAAUGCCAUUGGGAUUCAUAGAAUCUGAUAUAUGUCUUCUUUAAUUUUCUUUACCAAUGUUUUAUAGUCUUCAGUGUGCAAGUAUUUCACCUCUUUGGCUAAGUUUAUUUUGAAGCAUUUUAUUCUUUUUGUUGUUACUGCAAAUGUAAUUGUUUUCUUAUUUUCCUUUUUGGAUAGUUCAUUAUCAGUGUAUAGAAAUGUCUCUGAUUUUCGUAUGUGUAUUUCGUAUCCUACAACAUUACUAGAAUUAUCAGUACUUUAACAAUACAUUGUUAAUUACACUCAUCCUAUAGUGCUAUAGAACCCUAGAACUUAUUCCUCCCAUCUAGUUAGUUGCAUUUUGUAUCAGUAAUCACUUUCCUUCUAUGAGUUCAACUUUUUUAGCUUCCGUGUAUGAAUGAGAACAUAACAGCAUUUAUCUUUCUGUGCCUGGCUUAUUUCACUUAACACAAUGGCUCCAAAUUCAUCCAUGUUGAUGCAAAUAACAGAACUUUGUGAUUUUUUAAUGGCUAAACAGUAUUUCAUCGCAUAUAUAUACUGUAUUUUCUUCAUCCUUUCACUUGUUGAUGGACACUGAGAUUGAUUCCAAAUCUUGGCUGUGAAUAGUACUCCAAUAAAUAUUAGAGUGCAGAUA